rnacentral:rRNA from 1 species
AUUGAACGCUGGCGGCAGGCCUAACACAUGCAAGUCGAACGAGUGGCGGACGGGUGAGUAAUGUCUGGGAAACUGCCUGAUGGAGGGGGAUAACUACUGGAAACGGUAGCCAAUACCGCAUUCCAUCAGAUGUGCCCAGAUGGGAUUAGCUUGUUGGUGGGGUAACGGCUCACCAGGGCGACGAUCCCUAGCUGGUCCGAGAGGAUGACCAGCACGACUGGAACUGAGACACGGUCCAGACUCCUACGUGAGGCAGCGGUGGGGAAUAUUGCACAAUGGACGAAAGCCUGAUGCAGCCAUGCCGGGUGUAUGAGAAAGGCCUUGGGGUUGUAAAGUACUUUCAGCGGGGAGGCGUUACCCGCAGAAGAAGCACCGGCUAACUCCGUGCCAGCAGCCGCGGUAAUAC